rnacentral:rRNA from 1 species
UACGUAGGGGGCUAGCGUUGUCCGGAAUCAUUGGGCGUAAAGCGCGCGUAGGCGGUCAGGUAAGUCCGGUGUGAAAGUCAAAGGCUCAACCUUUGAAUGCCGCUGGAUACUGCCUGACUUGAGUCCGGAAGGGGCGAGUGGAAUUCCUGGUGUAGCGGUGAAAUGCGCAGAUAUCAGGAAGAACACCCGUGGCGAAGGCGGCUCUCUGGUACGUGACUGACGCUGAGACGCGAAGGCGUGGGGAGCGAACAGG